UUGUUGUAAUAAAGUGUAUUUUCCCAAAGUAAGUUAUUUUUAAAUCUUAUUUCUUAAUCCAAAGGUACAUUUUGCCGAAAACACCACAUUAGCAACCCCUUCUUUGCUUGUACCCCAACUUUAAAGUCCACUAAAUCAUCAGAAGGUAAGUAGGCAAUACCCAGCUUUUUUCUUUUUCUUGAAGCACAUCUCUCCCCCAAAAACCCAGGUUGUUGGAUGUUGUGGUUGAGUAUUCUCCUAAUCUUCCUACACUUGCUCAAUACGCACUCAUCAGAUGAUUUUCCUAAUAAUAUUUACUCACAUUCUAGCAACUAAACUUUAUAAUUAUUCCCACUUUCGUCGUAAUUUUUCGUAGAAACAUAAGAGUUCAAUUCAAGUCAGCUGAAGUGGAUUAAUCUCUGGAUUGUACAUCUGUGAUGUCCUACUUCCUGGGUUGUCAUGCAGUUUUCAUCUCCAUUUACUUGCCUGUUUACCAUUAUACACUUCGAUGCAUUAAUCUUUAAUUAAGCAGAGGUUAAAUUUACCCAAGGAAGACCAUUAUGCCUUUCGGAUUAGUCUCAGCAUGGAACAAGCGACGGAGAAGCAAGUCCCAAGAUCACUCGGACCCUUGGGUUUAUAAACCUGUGGAGUUUUGGCAACUUGAAGAUCAAGCAACUCAAACCACAAAGCGAAGCCAUGGAUCAUCGGUUUUCACACUCAAGGAGAUGGAAGAGGCAACGUGCUCUUUCAGUGAAAAAAAUUUGCUUGGAAAAGGGGGAUUUGGCCGAGUUUAUAGGGGCAUCCUGCGGUCAGGAGAGGUUGUAGCAAUCAAGAAAAUGGAUCUGCCAACAUUCAAAGAAGCUGAAGGGGAAAGGGAGUUUCGUGUAGAAGUUGACAUCUUGAGCAGGCUUGAGCACCCAAAUCUGGUUUCCUUGAUUGGAUAUUGUGCUGAUGGGAAGCACAGGUUUCUGGUGUAUGAAUAUCUGCAAAAUGGGAAUCUGCAGGAUCAUUUAAAUGGAUUUGGAAAAGCAAAAGUAGAUUGGCCCUCGAGGUUAAAAGUGGCACUCGGAGCAGCAAGGGGACUUGCUUAUCUACAUUCAAGUUCUGUUGGCGUACCAAUUGUUCACAGAGAUUUUAAGUCCACCAACAUUCUUCUAAAUGAAAAUUUUGAAGCAAAGAUAUCUGAUUUUGGUCUUGCGAAGUUGAUGCCGGAGGGCCAGGAGACAUUUGUUACUGCAAGAGUACUCGGAACAUUUGGGUAUUUUGAUCCCGAGUAUACAUCAACAGGGAACCUCACUUUACAAAGUGAUGUUUAUGCAUUUGGAGUGGUUCUUCUUGAGCUCUUAACUGGACGUCGAGCAGUGGACUUAAACCAGGGACCGAGUGAUCAAAACCUUGUCCUACAGGUUAGGCAUAUUUUGAAUGAUCGGAAGAAACUACGCAAGGUAAUUGAUCCAGAGCUUCGUCGGGGUUCAUACACAUUGGAAUCUAUAGCCAUGUUUGCCAACCUGGCUUCACGCUGCAUCCGCAUUGAGAGCAGCAAGAGACCCUCCAUGGCCGAAUGUGUGAAAGAACUCCAGACAACUAUUUAUAUAAAUUCAAAACCCAUCGGCAUGGGCAUGAUGACUUUCAAAAUGGUCUAAUAAAACCCCGAUGGCUCGUCAGCAUUGAAAGUGUCACAUCAACAAUGAAGAUCCUUUAUUUUUGCUUCAUUUGGUUACUAAAACUUGGAAGGCAACAGACCUAUGAUUUUAAAAGUGGAAGCGCACAACAAAGAAAAUGAUUCAUUCUGGAGAAAGGAUUAUGGUAAUUUAACUACAGCAGAAAAUUUUAAGGCGGGCCAAAAAACAUGGUUUUAAGAUUACCUGUAGCACUAUAGGUAUCCCCAUAAAUAUGAUAAAUUACAAGGAGAUGCCAGACCAUCGGAUUGAAUUCCUGGCCAAAAUCAACCAAAUUGGAUAAUCACCACAAGCUGGCCAGACUAUACCCUGAAGGACCUGAACCAGAAUCCAAAUCUUGAAUAAGGAUAGUGCAGCGGACAAUAAUUCAAAUAUAGUAACAACAAGCAGAAAAAGCUUGAAAACAAAGAUGUUCAUGAGAUUGAUGAGAAAGUAAAGGAACGAAGUAGAUGAUAAACAAAUGCAAUUGACAUGCAAGGGAGCUGCGUGAAAAAUUGUGUCCAGUCAAGACAGUGUCUGAUGUACCUCAGAAGCAUACGUCAUGACUUCAACAUAUCCAAUUGUGAAGAUAAUUCUGUAUCAGAGCCUGAAAUAUCAAGUUCGGAAGGAUUUUUUAAGACUGCAAGUUUCUUGCACAUCAAAUGUUUGCGCCUCUGCAACAUCAAUAGGACCCUUAUGCUAUCGGUUUUAACAAUAUUGUAACCUGCUUUUGUAUACAUGUUGAGGGGGGCCAAAUCAA